ensembl:lncRNA
CGGGAGGCGGGCCCGCUCGAUGAGGGCGCCGCCAUCUUGGGGAGGUGCGCGCGACCGGCGGCGAGGCGCCAUCUUGGGGAAGUGGCGUCGUUGCGGCGUGAGGGCUGGAUGGAGGCAUUGCAUGGAGGCAUUUUGAUAAACUCAUCCAGGUCACCUGAGCAUGCUGCUUACAACUCCUCCGUCAGCUCUCCCAGCUGGGUGUGAUGCGGGCUGCUCGACAGAGAGUAAAUCUAAUUAACUGUUUGAAGUAUUCCAUCAAGAGGCUCACGGUUACUAUACACAAGCAGUGGGUGGCUCUUCGAGAUUCUCUUAAAAACUCAGUUUCUUCUCAGCAUUCUCAAAAUCCUCGUCUGCUGGAGCAAUUUGAAUUUUGUUAUUAGUGACUGCUGGAAAUCAUAAUUCAAUAAAGACUAACUCAUUUAAAAAUGCUCCAUGCUGAGCGUGCAUUAGGUAACUUGGGAAACUUAGGAGACAGAAAAACAUACACUAAUAUUCAGGUCUACACAGGAAAUUGGUAUGGCACUGAGCAGUUUGAAGGAGGCUUUUUGUAUUUUUUUAAGAAGCUGCAGAAAGGUUGGAAGGAAUGCAGCUUUUUUCUGGUAAAUGUAUUCCUUUCCUCUCCCCGGCAUUUUUUCCUAAUGCGCUGGCGGCGGGCCAAAGGAAUGCAGCCCACAGCCUGCCAGGGGACAGUGGAAAUGCACACGAUAAACACUGCUGUCAUAAUUUCAG